CAGCCGCCACGGUAAUACGUAGGUGGCAAGCGUUGUCCGGAAUUAUUGGGCGUAAAGGGCUCGCAGGCGGUUUCUUAAGUCUGAUGUGAAAGCCCCCGGCUCAACCGGGGAGGGUCAUUGGAAACUGGGAAACUUGAGUGCAGAAGAGGAGAGUGGAAUUCCACGUGUAGCGGUGAAAUGCGUAGAGAUGUGGAGGAACACCAGUGGCGAAGGCGACUCUCUGGUCUGCAACUGACGCUGAGGAGCGAAAGCGUGGGGAGCGAACAGGAUUAGAGACCCGUGUAGUCCCUGUCUCUUAUAC
rnacentral:rRNA from 1 species